AACGGACGCUGGCGGCAUGCCUAACACAUGCAAGUCGAACGAGGCCUUCGGGUCUAGUGGCGCACGGGUGCGUAACGCGUGGGAACCUGCCCUUAGGUUCGGAAUAACUCCCCGAAAGGGGUGCUAAUACCGGAUAAUGUCUUCGGACCAAAGAUUUAUCGCCUUUGGAUGGGCCCGCGUUGGAUUAGCUAGUUGGUAGGGUAAAAGCCUACCAAGGCGACGAUCCAUAGCUGGUCUGAGAGGAUGAUCAGCCACACUGGGACUGAGACACGGCCCAGACUCCUACGGGAAGCAGCAGUGGGGAAUAUUGGACAAUGGGCGAAAGCCUGAUCCAGCAAUGCCGCGUGAGUGAUGAAGGCCUUAGGGUUGUAAAGCUCUUUUACCCGGGAUGAUAAUGACAGUACCGGGAGAAUAAGCUCCGGCUAACUCCGUG
rnacentral:rRNA from 1 species